AUUGAACGCUGGCGGCAGGCCUAACACAUGCAAGUCGAGCGAGCGGCGGACGGGCGAGUAAGGCCUAGGAAUCUGCCUGGUAGUGGGGGAUAACGUCCGGAAACGGGCGCUAAACCCGCAUACCAUCGGCUGUGCCCAGAAGGGUUUAGCUUGUAGGUCAGGUAACGGCUCACCUAGGCGACGAUCCCUAGCUGGUCUGAGAGGAUGACCAGCCACACUGGAACUGAGACACGGUCCAGACUCCUACGGGAGGCAGCAGUGGGGAAUAUUGCACAAUGGGCGCAAGCCUGAGGCAGCCAUGCCGCGUGGAUGAAGAAGGCCUUCGGGUUGUAAAGUACUUUCAGCGGGGAGGCGUUACCCAAAGAAGAAGCACCGGCUAACUCCGUGCCAGCAGCCGCGGUAAUAC
rnacentral:rRNA from 1 species